CCUACGGGGGGCAGCAGUGAGGAAUAUUGGUCAAUGGGCGAGAGCCUGAACCAGCCAAGUCGCGUGAGGGAGUACUGCCCUAUGGGUUGUAAACCUCUUUUGUCGGGGAGCAAAAGCCGGACGUGUCCGGCUGUGAGAGUACCCGAAGAAAAAGCAUCGGCUAACUCCGUGCCAGCAGCCGCGGUAAUACGGAGGAUGCGAGCGUUAUCCGGCUUUAUUGGGUUUAAAGGGUGCGCAGGCGGAUUUUUAAGUCAGCGGUAAAAUCGUGGGGCUCAACCCCAUCCAGCCGUUGAAACUGGGGAUCUAGAGUGUGCGAGAGGUAUGCGGAAUGCGUGGUGUAGCGGUGAAAUGCAUAGAUAUCACGCAGAACCCCGAUUGCGAAGGCAGCAUACCGGUGCACAACUGACGCUCAGGCACGAAAGCGUGGGUAUCGAACAGGAUUAGAUACCCCAGUAGUC
rnacentral:rRNA from 1 species